UUAUUGUUUUUAUUGGUAUCUUAAUGAACAAUAUUUUAGUAUUAAAAAAGUAACAAAAAAAGUAACGAAUCGUUAUUUUGUAAAUAACGGUAACGGUAACGCGUUGUUUUUGAUAAUCAGUAAUAACGGUAACUAGUUACUUUUAAAAAGUAAUUUUUCCAUCCUUGUUUGGAACACACAUGUGUCUUAUAUUUAUACCGUUGUGUAUGAAAAUAUAACAUUAAUUACGUAUUUUUGUUGUACUGGUUAUAUAAUAUUUUUAUUUUUACUGGGAUGUAUACUGAUUUAACGAUAUCUAACAUCAUUUUAUGUACUAUGUAUAUCUAGGGCGGGAAAGUUAAAUUUCUCUUAAAAUCUUACAGUCAGUAAUAAGAGCUCCUCAAAAAGUUACUGACUUCUAAAUCGUCUUUUGCCAAUGACUUUACGUCAGAGUUACCAAUUCUCAUCGCAUAGAAGUGUUGCAAAUAAUUAAUUAAAUCUUUCAAUUAAUUACAAUAAAAUUAUUAAUAAAAGAAUUAAAAGUUUAUUUUAAUUUAAAUUUUAUUUAAUUGAGAAUUAAAAUUUAAAUUUGAAUUACAACAAAAUUUAAUUAAGAAUUAAAAAUUAAUUUUUAUUUGCUGUGACGGUUUGCCUUUCCCGAACGUCUCGGACAGGCUCGCCGGGUAUCAGGAUUCGAGAGAAGGGGGGUAACCAACUUGCGCACACCGAUAUUAAAUUACCAAACCUUUAUUAUAAACCUUAGCUUAUAUACAUUUCUUAGCCUACUCUAUAUAGUAUAUUACCUGGUCUACACAAUAUACAGCUUAACCUAGUUACGUUAGUCGGACGGGAGCGCGCUAGUGCGCACUUUAGAACGCGGUCGCGACGCGUGGUCGCCGGCGAGAACCGGGCGGCAGGGCGGCCAGGUGGCCUGCCCCGUUGACGGAGACAAGGAUAGUCGAAUGCCGGCGAGAACCGGGCGUCAGAGCGGUCCGGAGACCUGCUCAAUCGAUAGGACGGGACUGGUGUCUGGUCUAGAUCAGUCUAGAUUAGGGCAUAUAAUCUCUUAUGUAUUUUUCGUGAUCAGCGUUUGUGGCGCCGCCGCUGCAAGCGAACCAGCCGAACCGAACUAAAAUGCAAUAUGGCUGUCUAAAAUCAACAUGGCCGUAGUAAUGAGUUCCGUUCAACAAGCAGAGUGAAGUGAAGCAAAGCUUACGAGCGAAGAAGGAGGUUAUUUCUUACGAACGGAAUAAUUUGAAACUGAUGACACCAGUAGCUGUUCCAGCUUUCGACUGUACACCAGCCUUCGACACCAUAUAAAAUAAAGUUGCUGUGGCUGCGUUUGGAAACAUCACCUGAGUGCUCUCGGGUAUCAUUCUAUGAUAGAGAGUUAUAUCGAAUCAUUAAUCAUGACAAUUACCUAUUUACUUUGUUUAUAUUAGAAGAGUGAAGAGAUUGUGAAAUGAUGAUUGGUGUAGAUUGUAAUAACUAGCUUUCUUAACAGAUUCUAAAUUUAAUUUAUUUUUAAAAACAAUUUUUGAAAGAAACAAGAAUAUAUUUCUCUUCUUAAAUAAUGUUAAAUGUUUAUGCAGUAUUAGUCAAAGAUUAGAUUCUUACAUUCGGUAUUUGAAUUACUUAAUCGUGACAAAUUGUAGCAUAUGUUUUACUUAGUCCCAGCUUUCGUCUGAUGAAUUAAUAGCGAUUGAGCUUGGAUUUUCCACGUAUUAAACCAAAAGUUCUUACUUGAACUGAUUGUGAUACGUAGGCACGAGAAAACGACUAUCUCUUUUCACUCUCCCAAAAAAGUAUAUGCAUAUAUUUAUAAUACUGUAAGCGUAUAUAAAAUAUUUUUCAUUUGCAAAUGUCAUAUGCAAAUUAUAACAUUUUAUUUGUUUGUACUAAUCAUGUAAUGGUUCCAUAAAACAUGUGAAAUAAAUAAGUUCAAAAA
rnacentral:lncRNA from 1 species